rnacentral:rRNA from 1 species
GGGCUUCGCUCAACGUCCCCCGACGCUUGGAUCGCGCGGGCGCCUAGUGCGCUCGGGCGUUUCUCGGCGGCAAUAACGAACCCCGGCGCGGAAUGCGCCAAGGAACUCAAACAAGAGUGCGAUGCUCCCAUCACCCCAGACAUGGUGCGUGCAUGGGAUGCCAUGCAAUCUCCUAUUUACUUAUAACGACUCUCGGCAACGGAUAUCUCGGCUCUCGCAUCGAUGAAGAACGUAGCGAACUGCGAUACUUGGUGUGAAUUGCAGAAUCCCGUGAACCAUCGAGUCUUUGAACGCAAGUUGCGCCCGUAACCAUCCGGUGAGGGCACGUUUGCCUGGGUGUCACACAUGGCGUUGCCCCUUAUCCCUCGCCUUGAAUUUGGGCGGGGAGGAAUUUGGGCGCGUAAGUUGGCCUCCCGUGACAACCUUGUCCCGGUUGGCCGAAAAUCGAGCGUCGGAGCGAUUAGCACCACGACAUUUGGUGGUUGAUUAGAAGACCCCAAUGGUCAAUGUCGUGCGUGCUCGCUCGUGCGCGCGCUCUGCGAAUCUUUUAUUUACCAACGCGACCCCAGGUCAAGCGGGGCUACCCGCUGAGUUUAAGCAUAUCAAAAGGCGGGGAGAGAAAUAAGCAUAUCAA